rnacentral:rRNA from 1 species
AUUGAACGCUGGCGGCAGGCCUAACACAUGCAAGUCGAACGAGUGGCGGACGGGUGAGUAAUGUCUGGGAAACUGCCUGAUGGAGGGGGAUAACUACUGGAAACUGUCGCUAAUACCGCAUACCCUCGGAUGUGCCCAGAUGGGAUUAGCUAGUGGGUGGGGUAACGGCUCACCUAGGCGACGAUCCCUAGCUGGUCUGAGAGGAUGAUCAGCCACACUGGGACGGAGACACGGCCCAGACUCCUACGGGAGGCAGCAGUGGGGAAUAUUGCACAAUGGGCGCAAGCCUGAUGCAGCCAUGCCGCGUGUAUGAAGAAGGCCUUCGGGUUGUAAAGUACUUUCAGUGGGGAGGCGUUACCCACAGAAGAAGCACCGGCUAACUCCGUGCCAGCCGCCGCGGUAAUUC